rnacentral:rRNA from 1 species
UACAGAGGUCUCAAGCGUUUGUUCGGAUUCAUUGGGCGUAAAGGGCGCGUAGGCGGCGUGUCAAGUCAGGCGUGAAAGCCCCGGGCUCAACCUGGGAACCGCGCUUGAGACUGGCAUGCUCGAGUUCGGGAGAGGAUGGUGGAAUUCCCAGUGUAGAGGUGAAAUUCGUAGAUAUUGGGAAGAACACCGAAUGGCGAAAGGCAGCAUCUCGUGGCC